rnacentral:lncRNA from 1 species
UCUCCAUCACAUUUUUCUUAUUUUGAGCUUGACUUACUGCAGGUUUGAUAUACUGGUCUUCAGUAGUUCAGUUCAACCUGCUGCAAAACAUAACAUGUACUGUUUGCACCAGGCCAAAUGCUUAGUCUUGAAAUCCCAUGACCAAGUUGGGAACUAGUGCGAUUCUACUUAAUCACCUCAAAACCUGUUAAUAAGGUAUUAAUUCGCACCUCUCCGCUGCAACAAUAUGAGAAUAUAUAAGAACCUAGCUUAACCGCAAAUAAUAGUUGGUCCAAAACUUAUUCUUCUAUCGAACAUCUUGUGAGCACAAAAUGAUUCCGGAGAAAACCGUCACCCUCCCUGCGCUCGAUUCCCCGACCCCGAUGUCGUGCCGCCAUAACCUAUGUAUGAGUGGGUCAUUGGUUGCGACCUUUUCCAUGCCGCGCUAAGCGGCCGGCGGCAACACACGGCUCCUAUGUCAAGGACUCGGGAGAAGGGGAUGAGGGUCCGACCUCGGAGCCGUAGUAGAGAACCACAUAGGGGUCGCUGGUGUAGCUGAGCGGGUCGGCGAUGAUGAGGUUGUGGCCUCGGACAACGCGGACGCUGAGCUUCCCGAUCACCGGCUCCGACGCCAUGGCAGACAAAUUAUUGGCUUCUAGCCACGGGACGGGAGUAGGGCGAGAAGAGAGAACUAAGGAGGAGGUAGCGGGCUGGGGGCAGGGUGGAUGCGGCCAACAGCUGGCGGCCGGCACCUGGUUUUAUAAGCGACUCCGCCAACUAUGG